rnacentral:rRNA from 1 species
AUUGAACGCUGGCGGCAGGCCUAACACAUGCAAGUCGAGCGAAUGAGGGAAGCUUGCUUCCCGAUUUAGCGGCGGACGGGUGAGUAACACGUGAGCAACCUGCCCUGGACUCUGGGAUAAGCGCUGGAAACGGCGUCUAAUACUGGAUACGAGACGUGGCCGCAUGGUCGACGUUUGGAAAGAUUUUUUGGUUCAGGAUGGGCUCGCGGCCUAUCAGCUUGUUGGUGAGGUAAUGGCUCACCAAGGCGUCGACGGGUAGCCGGCCUGAGAGGGUGACCGGCCACACUGGGACUGAGACACGGCCCAGACUCCUACGGGAGGCAGCAGGGGGGAAUAUUGCACAAUGGGCGAAAGCCUGAUGCAGCAACGCCGCGUGAGGGAUGACGGCCUUCGGGUUGUAAACCUCUUUUAGCAAGGAAGAAGCGAAAGUGACGGUACUUGCAGAAAAAGCGCCGGCUAACUACGUGCCAGCAGCCGCGGUAAAAC